rnacentral:rRNA from 1 species
GACGAACGCUGACGGCGUGCCUAACACAUGCAAGUCGAGCGAGGAGAGUUCCUUCGGGAACAAACCUAGCGGCGGACGGGUGAGUAACACGUGGGCAACCUGCCUUGUAGAGGGGAAUAGCCUUCCGAAAGGAAGAUUAAUACCGCAUAACAUUACAGUUUCGCAUGAAACAGUAAUUAAAGGAGUAAUCCGCUACAAGAUGGGCCCGCGGCGCAUUAGCUAGUUGGUGAGGUAACGGCUCACCAAGGCGACGAUGCGUAGCCGACCUGAGAGGGUGAUCGGCCACAUUGGGACUGAGACACGGCCCAGACUUCUACGGGAGGCAGCAGUGGGGAAUAUUGCACAAUGGGGGAAACCCUGAUGCAGCAACGCCGCGUGAGUGAUGAAGGUUUUCGGAUCGUAAAGCUCUGUCUUCGGGGACGAUAAUGACGGUACCCGAGGAGGAAGCCACGGCUAACUACGUG